rnacentral:tRNA from 1 species
GCGAGAAUAGCUCAGUUGGUAGAGCGCAACCUAGCCAAGGUUGAGGUCGCGGGUUCGAGCCCCGUUUCCCGCU